GUGCCCAGGGUAGUGCUGCCACAGGAAGCUGCCAGGCUUGGGCCCAGGUCUGUGACUCCAGCACCAACAUUCUCAGCUGCUGAGAUUGGACCAAGCCUGGGCGGGCACGUGGCUAUUGUCUCUGGACUAUCAAGAGAGAAGGUCCUGAGAUCCUGCAGGGAGGAUGGAACCCUCCGCAGGACAGGUGGGGUGUUUGUGAGACCCUCCCUGAUGCUAAAAACAGCAAGAUCCCAGGGGCACAGGACAGUGGCUGGAUAUGCAGCUGGGCAUCGAUGGCCUGGACAUCCAGAGUGGGCCAUGGCAAGUAAAAGAUGAGGUCUUGCUAUGUUGCCCAGGCUGGCCUCGAACUCCUGAACUCAAGCAAUCCUCCUGCCUUAGCCUCCCAAAGUGCUGGGAUAUAGGCGUGAGCCACUGCACCCAGCCUCACUCAACAGACUUUCAUGGAGGGUCUGCUAAGUACCAGGUAACAACAAAACGAAACAGGUGUGACCUCUGGCCCAUUUGGGGCUGGUGGUCUGUUGGGAACAUGACAGAACUUGAAAACACACACAGGAUACAGAGGGUGGUUGUAAAGCGAGCUAUUCACGUUAUCGAGGUGGCUGGCAUUCACAGUGGGGGAAAAGAAAAGGGAUGGAGGGAAAACAGUGGCUCAUGGGGAGGGAGAAUGGGGGGAUCCGUCUAAAUGGGGAGAAGGGACCUCUGCAGGAAGGAAUGAGCUAACGGCGAGGCAAUCGCUGGCUGGGAGGGUGCCCAGAGGAGAUGCUGUGGAUUCAACUUCCUUCAUCCUCACAGCAGCCCUAAGGCACACUACUAGCUGUCCAUUUCACAGAAGAUGAAAACCGAGGCCCAGAAAGGUUAAGCGCAUUGUCUGAGGUCACAGAGCCCAGGAGUGACAGGGACAAGUUUAUGACCCAGCGUGGCCCUUAGUGACUCUGCUGCUCUGUAGGAAAUACCCUGGGAGCCUGGGGUGGGGUCAGGCACAGGGCAAGGGUUUUGAGCAGAAGGAACCACUCCUGGGAAGUGCAGACGCGGCGGUGGAGUGGAGACGCGGUGGUGGAGAGCAGACGCGGCGGUGGGCGGUGGAGUGGAGACGCGGUGGUGGGGUGGAGACGCGGUGGUGGGGUGGAGACGCGGUGGUGGAGGGCAGACGCGGGGGUGGGCGGUGGAGUGGAGACGCGGUGGUGGGGUGGAGACGCGGUGGUGGGGUGGAGACGCGGUGGUGGGGUGGAGACGCGGUGGUGGAGGGCAGACGUGGCGGUGGGCGGUGGAGUGGAGACGCGGUGGUGGAGUGGAGACGCGGCGCUGGAGGGCAGACGCGGGGCUGGAGUGGAGCCGCGGCGCUGGAGGGGAGACCCGGCGCUGGAGCUCUGAGCACCCAGGCCUUGCUGCACUGUGACUUCAUGAGCAUUGGGGGUGGAAGAACAGCCCUGGAGUUCAAUGCUGGAUUCAACCUGGGACUCAGACCCUUACUGCUCAUUGAAGACAGCCAGACCUCACGCCACAAAUCUUAGGCUAAGCAAGAGAAUCCAGACGCAAAACGCGACAUACACAAAUGAUUCCCUGAUAAUGGAGUGCAGGACAGGCACAGCCAAGCUCUGCGGAUAGACGGCAAGAAUGUAAGUCAAGGCCGGGGGCAGUGGCUCACGCCUGUAAUCCCAGCACUUUGGGAGGCUGAGGCAGGCGGAUCACCUGGGGUCAGAAGUUCAAGACCAGCCUGGACAACAUGGUGAAACCCCAUCUCUACUAAAAAUACAAAAAUUAGCCAGGUGUGGUGGCGGGUGCCUGUAAUCCCAGCUACUCGGGAGGCUGAGGCAGGAGAAUCACUUGAACCGGGGAGACAGACGUUGCACUGAGAUUGCACCACUACACUCCAGCCUGUGUGACAGAGCAAGACUCUGUCUCAAAAAAGAAAAAAAGAAUGUAAGUCAAGAAAGAAGGAGCCUCAGCCAGGUGCAGUGGCUGAUGGCUGUAAUCCCAGCACUCUGGGAGGCCAAGGUGGAUGGAUCACCUGAGGUCAGGUUUGAGACCAGCCUGACCAACAUGGAGAAAGCCAUCUCUACUAAAAAUACAAAAGUAGCCAGGCAUGGUGGCACAUGCCUGUAAACCGAGCUACUCGGGAGGCUGAGGCAGAAGAAUCGCUUGAACCCAGGAGGUGGAGGUUGUGGUGAGCAGAGAUAGCACCAUUGCACUCCAGCCUAGUCAACAAGAGUGAAACUUUGAGGAAAAAAAAAAAAGAGAAAGAGGAAAGAAAGAAGAAAGGGAGAGGAAGAAAGGAAGAAAGAGUGAGCCUCAUUUAUAUACUCCUGUUGAACCAACAUAUAUUGAGUAUAUGUUGAAUACAUAAGUGAAUGAGUGAAUGAAUGAAUGUCACCUCAUCCUGUGCCUUUCCACCAAUUUCCAAUAGUCUGCACUUUCUUGCUAUAGCCUUUACUUGGGAACUUAGGUCAUUUCCAUUUUUGCACUAUUGCAUAUCCUGUUACAAUCAAUGAUGCUAUCACAUUUGCGCAUUUUUGUAAAAUCAUGGCUGUGUGUACCCCAUGAAUAAAGACGCUUAAAACAACAAUUG